rnacentral:rRNA from 1 species
CCUACGGGUGGCAGCAGUGGGGGAUAUUGCACAAUGGGGGGAACCCUGAUGCAGCGACGUCGCGUGGGUGAAGGAGUGCUUCGGCAUGUAAAGCCCUAUUGGCAGGGAAGAAGCAAGACGGUACCUGACUAAGAAGCCCCGGCUAACUACGAGCCAGCAGCCGCGGUAAUACGGAGGGGGCGGGCGUUAUCCGGAUUCACGGGGUGUAAUGGGGGCGUAGACGGCCAUGCAAGCCAGGGGUGAAAGGCCGGGGUCCAACCCCGGGACUGCCCUUGGAACUGCAUGGCUGGAGUGCGGGAGGGGCAGGCGGAAUGCCUGGUGUAGCGGUGAAAUGCGUAGAUAUCAGGAGGAACACCGACGGCGAAGGCGGCCUGCUGGACUGCGACUGACGUUGAGGCUCGAAAGCGUGGGGAGCGAACAGGAUUAGAUACCCGUGUAGUC